UAGAUAUUUAUGUAGUUCAUACAAUUCCCCAAGUUUUUUUCUUUACCUUGUAUUUUCAGCAGAUUUAUUUGAUUUGAACAUUGGAACACGAUUUAAUAUUGCCGUUUGCAUGAUAGUUUUAAUCAAGGGCCAAUGAUGAUCAUAGCAACUACUGAAAAUAACAGAAACAUACUUUUUCUAUUGGUUAAUGGCGUUGAUGGUAAAGGUCCACACUCAUAGUUUUUAUAUUUAUUUGAUUUGAACAUUGGAACACGAUUUAAUAUUGCCGUUUGCAUGAUAGUUUUAAUCAAAGGCC
rnacentral:lncRNA from 1 species